UACAGAGGGUGCAAGCGUUAAUCGGAUUUAUUGGGCGUAAAGCGUGCGUAGGCGGCUGCGCAAGUCGGUUGUGAAACCCCGGGGCUCAACCUCGGAACUGCAUCCGAUACUGCGUGGCUAGAGGUAGGUAGGGGAGAUCGGAAUUCCUGGUGUAGCGGUGAAAUGCGCAGAUAUCAGGAGGAACACCGGUGGCGAAGGCGGAUCUCUGGGCCUUACCUGACGCUCAGGCACGAAAGCUAGGGGAGCGAACAGG
rnacentral:rRNA from 1 species